CUCACAGAGUAGGCCUGAUCUAAAUUCAUACCAUGAAUAAACUGGCAUUCUUCUGAACAUUAAGAAGACAUCCCACAAAAUAAAACUAUUUGGGGAGUUCUUUAAUAAGCCAACCAGGUCACAGGAAGGACUACCUCCGACGUUGUCAUUUCUGCCGGUGCAUAUGGGAUGCCCCUGUGCACAUUACAAAGAUACUGAUGUAAAUCCUUCAACAUCCAGGACACAAUUCUUGGAGUUAUCAAUUGCUAGAAAUUCAGAAAGCUUGCCUUGUUAAACAGUUUGCUGCUGCAAUAGGAAGACUAGAUAGAUUUCCCCGCACCAUGCUAGGCAAAGGUGUGGCCGUAGCCAGAGAGCCUGGACAAAAGAUAAAGCAGUCAAGAAAACACGGACUGUGAGUAUCCUUAACAUGAAAGGAAUCCAGAGAGAAAACCGAAAGAAGGGAAGCAGACGAAUGUAACCAACAAAAGAUCCCUAAAGGUCGAUGCAAAUCCUAUGUCAGACAGCAAGCUCCGAUCUCAGAAGUGGAGCUGACUGAAGGGAAGGAGGGGUGAAGAGGUAACAGUGGGAUUGUCACUAAGCGGACACUGAAACAACUGUGGGCUCCACCAACGAGGCUUUGAGGAAAGUUGUGGACAUCAUUUGAAAGACCUGGCACUAAAGGAGCCAACCCUGCCUCUGACAGCCUGGGGGCAUCCUUUGAAAAACUGUAAAGGCCACUGCUGCCUGGGCUGGUAGACAAGGCCAGAGCCCAACAGCAGAGAACCCCAUCAAAUGAGAAGCAAGCUAGCAGUAGCAAGGGCUGAAGUUGGUGCAUAGGAGCUUGUUGGGAGGGCUGGGGAAGAGCUUCCUCAGAGUCUGCAGAAUCCCUGCAGUUCCUGGGCCGUCUAGGAAACUGCUCAACUCUCUGGUAUGCAACACUGUACUUCUUACCAAGACACUUCGUGGACACUCAAGCCAGUUCUAAUUUAACCCAGUAGAGAAAAAGCUAGUGACAGCCCUUGCAGGCAGAGCCAGGGGGCUGGUUAUCCCAGCUUCAUAAACACAGUAUUGUCUUGCUGAUGUUUCUGUUUCAGGUGACUGCUACUACGGGGUCCAGGCAAAGCCUGAAGCCCCACAGUAUAGCUCUUGGUCUCUUUUAUGGCUCUUACUUGCAGACCACGUCAGGUGAAUUGUGGUUUUUUUUUUACCACCGAAGGCCUCAUACAGCAGAAAGGCAGCGUUGUUCACACUUUUGCUCUGAUACUUGAUUCUGUAAAUGAAUUAUGUUAUGAGGGAUGCUGGUGGUCAAACAGUCGCGAAUGCUGCUGUUACGUCCUGGACACCUUCAGCUGCAUCCUUUUGCUUCCCAGUGCUCCCCAGCAUUCUUCAUUUCUACUCAUCUUUCACAAAGAAAGCAGAGCUAAGGAAACUCUUAGAAAUAUUUAUGCUUUCUUUAUUUAGCUUAGAGAUAAAGGGGGGAACACACGGGGGAACACUAGAGUGACUAGGGAUAAAGUCCUCCCUCCAUCAAUAAAAUCUUUGAGAGGAAAAAUACCAGGUCAUCCAGAAUAGCUUCAACAUGCUGUAAGGGCAAGGGGCCAGAAAAGGUAAAUUGGUUUUCAAGUUAUUCUAAUUUUCAGUUUCUCACAUGCCACAUUUAUGCAUUCACAUUAAAUGGCAAACAUUAAAAAUAACUACUCUCAGUUGAUCAUCACCCCAAUCCAAACCCAAAUCUGCUCCGAGCAAAAAAUACACUGUUGCCAGUUACUAGCGCAUUUCCUAAACUAGUCCUCAUGUAUCUACAAAGACACGUGGAAGUGCACAUACAUAUAUAUAUGGUUCAUCAGAA